CACCCACAAAAUCUGGUUUAGAAGGUUGGGGAACUUUCUGGAACAUUGUGGGGGGGGUUGGUGUGGGUGCUGGAAGAGGAGAUGAUGGGGAGGUUCUGUUGUGCAACCAGAGCAGCCCUUCCAAGGGGAGUUCUGCUGUGUAAGUGGAACACAGCUCGUGCAGCAAUGGAUGCAACCCUCUAUUUCUACAAAUAGUCUGCAACUUUUUGUUGGAGGUUCUGUCUCCUCCCAUCCUUGCACAGGUGCUACUGUUCAGGGUUUCUGCCAGCCAGCCAGCCAGCCAGCCAGCCAUGCUGUCCCUCAGGAUGCUGCAAGGAGCUCACAGGCAUUCUCAUUUCCCUGUUUUCCAUUUUUAAGCAGACUUGUUCUGGGUUUGUCCAGAGGGGAACAGCUAGAAACAAAGGGUGGAAAUUGUAGGGUAGCCAACUUCAGAUGAACACCAGGAGACUAGUGCAAGACAGUAAAAUGAAUGCUUUUCUAAUAUUGCAGAACAUGGUCAGAUCCCCAAACACAAGAAACUCCUGCAGAUCUCUUAUAACUAUGCCAGUUGUUCCCCAAAUGGGUGCUAGAUCAUUCCAAUGUGCUGUGAGAGAACUGUAUAGAUGCAGUUCUGAGGUGAUGUGGUGAAAUCCCAAGUCAGUUUUACCAGCUGAGUUCUCCCUCAAAAACAUGUCUAAAUCCUAUCUAUAGAGAAAUGAGUCAAUAAAUUACAAGGACUACACAUCAAUUAGCUAAAUCUUCACCAAGCACAUCAUUUCGUUACUAAAAUAUCAGUAAAGGGAUCUGUACACAGUGACUUAACUAGUUUUGAGUACUUACUUUUAGAAUACAAACACAGUACAAAAGGAUUAGUUUCAACGAUUUAAUCUUUAUUGAAUGAUAAAACAACAAACACCCUUCAUUAAAGGGAGUAUGGGGAAAGACAUAGAACAAGUAGUUUCAGAUAAUGAGGCAUGAUCAAAUAUCUGGAAUAGACAGCUAGUAAAAUCCACUUCUGUGAUGGCCGGGGAAUGUUCUUUGAAAUGGAUUCAUCACCCUUGAAUUUAGCACACUGGCCCUAAAGGAUACAAUUCUUGGAAGGGAUGUGAGACUCAAGGGUCUUAUGUACACUCCUAGUUGGAGAAGGCUAGACUAUUAAUAUAAUUCUGGCUUAGAUCUUUUAUAUGGUUUGGGGUAGUAUUCCUAAUGUAUCAACUCCACUUCAGGAAUAAGACUAGGAUACUCAGAACUUCAAAACCGGGACAAGAAGAAUUUUAGAACCAUCUCUGAGAGCCAGUGUCUGUAUCUGGAUGGAGAGGUGUACUCAAAACUUCUGCAAAUGCAUGACCCCUCAGGCUUUGAUCCGUCAUGGUUACUUUCAGUGUCCCUUAGUCAGCUGCAAGAAGAAGUUGAGGGCCCAGAAGCUGACAGUGCAAAGCCUGAGGGAACUUCAUUGCUAUACAGCAAGGAGACAGAAAGAGAGAAAGAGAGAGAGAUUUGAAGAAUAUAUAUAGCUGCCAGGAGCUCGAACUGGUGUUCACAACUGUUUGGCACCAACAGCGUACUUUCAAAGGGGCUACUCAUGCACCCAUCAGCUGAUUGGUGCCAAGAGGAGACAGUGUGAAAUUGUUAACUGAUGUCAUAAUGGCAUUAUUUGAAUGACAGGAGACCUAGCAGGAGACCUGCAAAAGA